UACGGGGGGGCAAGCGUUGUUCGGAAUUACUGGGCGUAAAGGGCUCGUAGGUGGCCAACUAAGUCAGACGUGAAAUCCCUCAGCUUAACUGGGGAACUGCGUCUGAUACUGGAUGGCUUGAGAUUGGGAGAGGGAUGCGGAAUUCCAGGUGUAGCGGUGAAAUGCGUAGAUAUCUGGAGGAACACCGGUGGCGAAGGCGGCAUCCUGGACCAACACGUGACACUGAGGAGCGAAAGCCAGGGGAG
rnacentral:rRNA from 1 species